GGCGCGCUUGCGUCACUGCCCAGCCAGCUGGAUCUGGUUCCAGCCGAGAAGUCCGUCUGACCUGCGCAAUGCUUGUGCGCUGCGGCGGGCUGUGGGCCGGGCGAGAGGGUGCCGGGUUCGUAUGAGGGUCCCGGCUGGCCUUCCCAGACGACGCCCGCUAGCCGGGACGCGGAGGGACAAGUGGCAUUUCUUUCUGCUAUGACCCAUUUUGGGACAGCAGUGGCCUGAACAGGACCUAGGCUAAGUGGUAGAAACACAGAGGCUUCCUGUCUGUUGCAGCUGGAGACAUUUCAUUAUCCUCAGUUCCAUUUCCCAGGAAAAGAAUGUGUGAGUUAACCUUCUUAAAGUGAAUAAUUGGGAUAAUAAGACUGAUUCAGGUCUAGAAGAGCUGAUCAAAAAUAUCGUGAAUAUUUUUUAAAUGUAUUACAACGAACAACACAUUGCCAUUAAUGCCCCCCCCCCCAAAUACUCCCUCUUGCUUCAAACACUUAUCCUAUACUUAUUGCUACUUUCCAAAGCAUUCUGGAAAUCCUUGUUCAUAAGUGUCUUGAUGAGAUGUGAUCAAAAAUAUAGUAAAUGCUGUUGCCAGUGCCAUCCAGUGAAAAGGCAGGCUCAUGAAAAGCAUGAUGGUGUGCCCUUACCCAUUUUAUUGAUCAGAUAUGGCCCCAUGCAACUUCUGUCUGAUGACCAUACAAACUCAAAAUGACGUAGAAGGUAAACAUUUUCAAUCAGGACAUCGAGGCAGCUAUAACAGUGCAACUAAAGUCACUCGUGAAAGGAGACUUCCAGAACUACUUUAAAAAGUGGCAAGAAUGAUGGGACAAGUAUGUUCAAAGA